UGUAUUCAUAGUAUGAGGGGAGUUUUCAUUCAUAUUUAAUAAUUUUGUACAUUCAUCAGUUUUUCUUAAAGCAAUAUAUUUGAACCGUGGUCCAACAUACAAUGUGUUUUGCUUCAGAAAAUCAGCUCCAAUAAUGCCUGGAACACAUAAGUUCUUAAUAAUAUAAAACUUAAUAUUAUAAUGAGAGUUUCCUAUUUUAAGUUUAACUAACGUUGAUCCAAUCGAUCGUGUUUGGGAAUUAGCAAAUCCCCGAAGUAUCUCCUUAUCAUUAUAGUUGAUGUGUUCUACUCCGAUUCUAACAGCAGUAUCCCACCUUAAUAAGUUGAAGCAUGACCCAGAAUCAAGUAAAUAUUUUAUCACUGUUUUCGGCUUUGCAACAGAUGCAAUAUUUAGUAAAAAUAAAUUGUUGCCUGAAUGUUCGAUGUACAAUCUUUCAUGGGCCGGCAUACAAUUUUUAAUUCCAUUUACAAUGCUUACUGGUAGUUCUUGAAAACUAUUCUUCUCAAAAUUUGCAUUCCGAAAUAAAUUCUGUUUUCCAUUGAUGUUAUAAGUUUGGUUGCGCUCUCUGUAAUAAUUUGUGCGGGGUGUUCGCACAACAUGUACGAACCCCCUGGAAUCACGUUUUUUGAGAAUGUUAUCUUAUUAUGCGGACUUUGAACAUAGCCAUUAGAAUACCUGUUAUUUCGCAAACGGAGGUUUUGUACUGGUAGAAAUUUAUUUUGGUUGUCAUUGAUUUUGUUAUUUUUCUCCGUUUCUAACAACUCUAAAGUUGUUACUCUUGCAAAGAUUUCAUCGAUUUCAUUUCCAUCAUCGAUCUCUUUUUUAAGCCAAGUUAGUAAUUCUGGAAGUGUUUUUUCUCUUUGCGAUUUUCCAGCAUGAGCUAAACUUCGAUCGCGUAAUCCUCCCAAGAAAUGUUUGCGUAACGAAUUCGUCGCAUAUCUUCCCUGGUUAGCUACCCACUUGUGUAAAUCUUCUACUCUGAUGCUGUAAUCAUCGAACGAUUCAUUUUCCUUUUGUAGUAAGGUUUCAAUUUCCUUCAUAAGAGUGGCGGCACUCUUUUCGAAUUUAAACUCAUCCUCUAGAUUGCGUUUUACUUCGGGCCAAGUAUUUGCGUCAAUUUUUGAAAGCAACUUUAGCGCUUUGCCUGUUAAUUUCAAAUAAACCACAUUCAGAAGCGGAGUAUGAUCUUCUCCUUCCAACUGUUCUGCAAACAACUCAAUUUGUCUAAUAAAAACAUCCAAUUCAUCUGGAUUCCCAUCAAAUUGUGGAAUACAUUGAAGGGCUGUUAUCUGCGAAAACGCUGCCAUUUUUUUAUUUUCAAAUUAUCAGUACCGUAAAAAAAAUGUAUUCUUGAAUAGACAAUGAUUUUUGAUGGCUGAAUUCACUGAGUUUUUCACUCAGUACUUCAAAGACUCACCUUCAUAUGUAGAAUUUUGUAAAAACCCAUGUUUUGAUAUUUAAUAAAUCUGAUAUGUUCCACACUGCUUCUUCCAUCAUGUUCAUACUCCUAAGAUUUCAAUCUGUGACUAAUAUUUUAGAUUCGAUGUGUUUUUCAGGGCACUAUCACCCCAAAAUGAAAAUGUGAUUCUCGCUCAUAUGCAAAAUUGUUGGUCACCCAAACAUUUAAAAUUAUCGGAUCCUCCAGUUGCAAUUGAUAAUUGAUACCCCAUUACUUGUUUUUUAAAAAAAAAUUGAACUGAGAAAAAUUCGGUUUCAUGGAAAAAUAAUGAGGAAAUUCGCUGAAAAACUAUCAAAGUUACCCGUUUUACGGUACAACAAAAAAUCAGAUGAAAUAACUGUUGGUCAGAAACUAUUGACUAUAAAAAAACAUAUUCAGCUAUACAUUUUGUAUUGUGUAGAAUUGCCAUUAUUCGCACAUUUUGAAACCCUGCUUUAAUUUUAUUGCCUUCUCUCCACCGUUCCGAUAACUUUCAAUCGCGAGCGAGCGGCGUCCAAACUGCCCUUUCAGCAAAAUGAUGUGUGCUGUGCUUUCUGUCCGGCAGUACCAUCUAGUGUUAGUAGUGUGUGAAUGAUAUGCGACGUGGUGGAGUAGCCACCCACGUAAAGAGAAGUAUCAUUCUAUACAUAAAAUUUAUUUGAAUUAUAAUUGAUUGUUUGUUUUAGGUUGAUGCUUUUAAUGUAGGAGUUUAACCACUUGCAGUCCUGCAUAGAGGAAUAAAAUAAGGCUACGACCCAGCGAGAGAUGAACUUCUGCCACGCCCACGCUGCUAUUUUCCAACACUUCGGUAUCUGAAUGAGCCCGCGCAGAUGCAACGGUAUGAUAUGGACGAGCUUUGCAUCAUCACUUUCUCCCUUUCCACCGCAUUGACCAGCAUUCCGAGAUGGCUGGCAAAUAAACUACAUAUGUAAAAGACUACCUGCAUAGACCUGUGCGCCGACUUUAUUUUGCUCGGCGGCGGCGUGAGGGCCAUUUUUGGCCGGCGGCGGCGGUGUCAUCGGCGUCACGCCGGUGGCAGCUUUCGGCGGCGGCGGCGGUGGCGGCGUGAAUCGGCGUGACCAAAAUUUGACCGUAAUGUCAACAUUGGCGAAACGAAGAAGUUGUCUUUACGCUGUAGAA